CAUGUUUGGUCCUGACUUUGAUGUCGGCUUUGAUUCCGAUUACACAUGCAAGACUCCCCACACCAGUGAGAAUGCCCCCACCCCUCUCAUGAGGGAGAGGAGCCGGUAUCAGGCUCAACCUCUGGCCCAAGACGCCCCGCUCAGCCACACCCCCAAGGGAAUUCAGCAGUGAUAGACAUUAAGCCAUGAGCGGAAGCUCGACUUAGCGAGAAUCUAAAGGGCCGGUAAAACUCGUGCCAGCCACCGCGGUUAUACGAGGGACCCUAGUCGACAGAUCUCCGGCGUAAAGAGUGGUUAUGGACUUAGAUUAUAAAGCCGAUAUCAUCUCUGGCUGUUAUACGCAACCAGAUGUUUAUAGUCCCCUAGCGAAAGUAGCUUUAGUAAACCAGAACCCACUACAGCAAGAGCCCAAACUGGGAUUAGAUACCCCACUAUGCCUUGCCAUAAACCUAGACACUUUUUCACAACACCUGUCCGCCUGGGGACUACGGGCUUUAGCUUAAAACCCAAAGGACUUGACGGUGCUUCAGAACCCCCUAGAGGAGCCUGUUCUAGAACCGAUGAUCCCCGUUCAACCUCACCACCCCUUGUCAUCCCCGCCUAUAUACCGCCGUCGCCAGCCUACCCCGUGAGUGCAAUGAAGUGAGCAGAGUGGUUUUCACCUACACGUCAGGUCGAGGUGUAGCGCACGGGGUGGGAAGAGAUGGGCUACAUUGCCUGACCCAGAUAAACACGAACGACCCCUUGAAAUUGGGGGCUGAAGGUGGAUUUAGCAGUAAUGGUGAAAUAGAGUGUCACCCUGAAGCCGGCUCUGAAGCGCGUACACACCGCCCGUCACUCUCCCCUAGCCUUAACAUCACAUUAGUUAACCCAUGGUACUGCCUCAAGGGGAGGCAAGUCGUAACAUGGUAAGUGUACCGGAAGGUGCACUUGGAAGAAU
rnacentral:ncRNA from 1 species